CCUACGGGGGGCAGCAGUGAGGAAUAUUGGUCAAUGGGCGGAAGCCUGAACCAGCCAAGUAGCGUGCAGGAUGACGGCCCUACGGGUUGUAAACUGCUUUUAUACGGGAAUAACGCGCCUUACGUGUAGGGCUUUGCAUGUACCGUAUGAAUAAGGACCGGCUAAUUCCGUGCAAGCAGCCGCGGUAAUACGGAAGGUCCGGGCGUUAUCCGGAUUUAUUGGGUUUAAAGGGAGCGUAGGCCGCAUGUCAAGAGUGCUGUUAAAUGUCCGGGCUAAAACCGGGCAUUGCAGCGCGAACUGGCGGGCUGGAGUCCGCGGAAGGCAGGCGGAAGUCGUGGUGUAGCGGUGAAA
rnacentral:rRNA from 1 species